rnacentral:rRNA from 1 species
UAGGGAAUCUUCCGCAAUGGACGAAAGUCUGACGGAGCAACGCCGCGUGAGUGAAGAAGGAUUUCGGUUCGUAAAACUCUGUUGUUAGGGAAGAAAAAAUGUAUAGUAACUAUAUACAAAAGAGACGGUACCUAACCAGAAAGCCACGGCUAACUACGUGCCAGCAGCCGCGGUAAUACGUAGGUGGCAAGCGUUGUCCGGAAUUAUUGGGCGUAAAGCGCGCGCAGGUGGUUUAGAAAGUCUGAUGUGAAAGCCCACGGCUCAACCGUGGAGGGUCAUUGGAAACUAAUAAACGUGAGUGCAGGAGAGAAAAGUGGAAUUCCUAGUGUAGCGGUGAAAUGCGUAGAGAUUAGGAGGAACACCGGUGGCGAAAGCGGCUUUUUGGCCUGCAACUGACACUGAGGCGCGAAAGCGUGGGGAGCAAACAGG